AACGACACAUUUCCUCCUCCUCCUCCUCCUCGUAGGGACAACGGCGUCAAAGCCAUCGAGAACCUGAUGAAGAAGAGAGGCAAGUUCGACUACAUCCUACUGGAGACGACCGGCCUAGCGGAUCCGGGUCCAAUUGCCGGGCUCUUUUGGAUGGACAAGCAGCUGGAGAGUGAAUUGUAUCUAGAUGGGAUAAUCACCGUCCUCGAUGCGAAGUAUACGGAACAUAACCUCCUAGAGAAAAAACCCGAUUGUGUCACAAAUGAAGCUGUAAGG